rnacentral:rRNA from 1 species
GACGAACGCUGGCGGCGUGCUUAACACAUGCAAGUCGAGCGGUAAGGCCCUUUCGGGGGUACACGAGCGGCGAACGGGUGAGUAACACGUGGGUGACCUGCCCUUAGCUCUGGGAUAGGCCUGGGAAACUGGGUCUAAUACCGGAUAUGACCUCAUGACUCAUGUUGUGGGGUGGAAAGCCUUGUGCGGCUAGGGAUGGGCCCGCGGUCUAUCAGCUUGUUGGUGGGGUAAUUGCCUACCAAGGCGACGACGGGUAGCCGGCCUGAGAGGGCGACCGGCCACACUGGGACUGAGACACGGCCCAGACUCCUACGGGAGGCAGCAGUGGGGAAUCUUGCGCAAUGGGCGAAAGCCUGACGCAGCGACGCCGCGUGAGGGAUGACGGCC